AAAGUGGUCUAGUGGACCACGCCAUCACUACACGGUGGUACACAGAGGUGCGAUCCCUCCGUUUCCGUGGAACGUCAUCCACACC
rfam:Hubei virga-like virus 2 strain mosHB235832 RdRp and putative coat protein genes, complete cds.